UGAGCGCGGAUCGUUUCUGAAUGCAGUUUCAUUGUUAAUGUUCGGAAUUGUUGCCGAGGGUGAAAAUAAGCCGCAGUCUUCAAUGCAAUCAAUAACCCAAGAUUGGGCUUCCCAGAGAUACAGCGGCACGGAAUGAGAGGAAACUGGAGUACCUGGAGGAAACCCACGCAAACACAGGGAGAACAUGCAUGCAGAGAGGACCCAGCCGGGACUCGAACCCAGAACCACCUCCUUACUACGGAACGAAUCGGAAGAAGAACAGGUUGACACGGUGUGACGCGCUCUUACCUUUCUGAAUGAUGGGGCUGCUUUGGGCCGUGGAGAUUCUGGAGGAGGUUUUGGACGAGUCACCGUCGGAGUCUUUGCUCAGGUCGAAGGACACCACGAUAUCCUUACCCCCCGGGGCCUUCUCCUGGGUGGACAGGAAUUCAUCUGUGGGACAGAACGAAAUGGAUGGAAAACAUUCAAAUGAAACUGGAACCACCCUGGAAAAUGCUUACUGCUAAAGAGCUCAUCCAAAGUCAACACUUUAACACCUAAAACAAACAAGGUAAUGGGCUGUUGAGUGUUCCUAAGAAGAUCUGCAAACGUUUUUUUGUUACACAAGGUACAUGUUCAGAAAAGGCCGUGAGAGCAUACCUUGACCUUGAAUGUGUGAAAUGUCAAGUCCCUCUUUCAACCUGAGCAUAACUGCACCGUACUGGAAGUCGAAUGCAUCACUGUGACACAAAUAAAUCCAUUUUUAGCAAAGAUGCCUCACAUUUUUAAAAAUAAUAUCAAUAAAUUAUCUACAGAGGGCUAUGAUUAACAGGGUCCACUCACUGGAUCAUGUUGAUGUAGGUCUCAACAUCUUUCAUCUCUCCAUCCCUCCAGUUGUUUUUGAACCCCAUCACCAGCGUGUUGGGCCUCAAACGACCUAUACCUGAAGCCUUAGACGCAAUGGGUCAUCAGAUUACUUAAAACCUCCACUUUCAUUCCCAGUGCACACACCCAUACAAAACCAUUCACUCGGCCAGUUCUCAAUUCAAAGGCAUAACCUAAAAAACUGUAGUUAAAACUGAGUCUGAAAAACAUAUAAAUUACCCACUCUAAAGGCUCUAAACUUUAAUUUAGUAUAAUGAAAUGUGCGUAAUGUCUUUCAAACUUGGUCAGAUAGCCACGUAAAUUUAAGCAUAAAGAAUGGCAUGAAGCCAGGGUUCCGGUCUCACCUGUAGCAGGUACUGGGUGCCCUGCCGAAGGUCCUCGGCAAACACAGGUGUAUAAAAGGCCUUGGUCCUGUUCUUCAGCAGCCAGCGCUGGUAGCGCACCUGGUCGUUCGUUAGGUCUUUGAAGCUCGGCCUACGGGUAAACUGGAGAGAGAGAGAGAGAGAGAGAGAGAAAA